GAGGCAUGGAAGGGUUGAAACUGGCCCAAGAUCACAUCAGGAUUUGGACCUGACUUCCCCCACCGAGUGGGUCUCUGCAAGGCCACCCUGUUCCCCGGGGAGGAGCAGGUGCUGAGCCAGUGCUGGGUGGAGGGUGACCAGCUGGUAGGCCACCCACCUCCUUGGUCUUCCUAUCUGACUGAACCAGCCUGAGUGUGUCCUGUCUUGACACCAGGGGGCAGGGUGAGACAGGAGAAAGGGCAGUGGGCCACACAGCCUGCAGCCUCUCCCUGGGACAGCAGGUCAGCCUGUCCGCACUCUGAUCUCAGGGCUCCUGGAGGAUGUCUGUGUGAGUGGGCCAGUGAGGGGCCAGAAAGUGGCUCCUGUUCUGACGACCUCAGGAUCCCCUGGGCAGGCCGGGAUUGGAGAGAGCAGCAGCCGCUUCUGCAGAAAAGAAAACACCUCAUCCCUCUCGGGGUCACUGGUUCAUGCUGGAGAGAGCUCAGGGAUCCAUCGGGCCAAGUUCACUUACAGGUGAGAAAACUGAGGCCCCGUCCUGGCAUCCCUCUGUUGGUGUGUCAGUCUCCCUGUGUGGGGGCUGCAUCCUUCCCCCUCACCUGGUUGUUCCUUCUGCUUCUGAGUCCAUGGUCUGCAGCUCAGCGGGAGAGUAGGAUCCCACCGGCCAUGUUCAUGCUGCUGUGAUGGGUUUGGGGGAACUGGGGUGGGCCGAUGGGUCCCCAGGAUGGCAGGACAGCCCGUGGGUCUGCUGAUGAUGGGCCCUAAACCAAGGGGAGCACGUGGAGCCCUGUCCGUGGCCCUGCUCUCCCCGGGACAAGCUGCCAGCCCUGCUGCCAGUGAAACACAGACGGGGGCGUGUUUAUCCAGCUGCCUGGCACCGUGUGGAGGAAGCACAGCUCAGCCCACAGCUUUGGGGGACGUCCAGUUGUGGCCCACCUGGUUGGCUGGAGGUAUUCCAAUGCCCUGGGGUGGCAUUUGAGGGCCCUUUGACCAGACUGUCUGUCUGCAGCCUCCUCUCCAGAGGUCGAAGUCUCAUCUUCCUGGCGUGGCCCUGAGAUGAGCUUAUCUCUGUCUAUUUGGCUCUGAGACCACCCUGGGCAGCAGGUCACAUUCAGGAGCACAGCCACACUCUCCAGAGGCCACCCAGUGUUGGCCAGGCGCAGCCGACUGGUUCUCUGCGGUUCACAUCUGAGACUCUUCCCCCAGCUCUAUGGGUUGGACCCCCACCGGGCUGAGGAGGAGCCCUCGGCACUGAGGCUGCGACUCAGAGGCAGAUGUGGGGAUCAGAGCAGCCUCCUCAGCUCUUCCCCUGGCUGGGGUGAUUUCUCUCCCCAUCUUGGACUCUCCUCCUGCUAUCGCCCAAUCCAGCAGGGUGCACCUUUGCAGUGACUGGCCUCAGGUGGCUGUGGCUUGGGCUUCUACUAUAGACCGGGUCAGGGCUCAGUGACCCUAACGAGGGGCUUUUCUGUGGGUGGGCAGAGCUGCCAGGGGGUUAUGGGGAACAGUGAGGGGUCGCCCCUGUCUCUUCGGAGUUUGACACAUCUCUUCUUUGGCCCUAAUUGUACUGAUGGAGACUGACUUCCGACCUCUGACUUUUCAGCUCUGAGGCUUAGCUCAGCUGGUACCUUUAAGUGACACAGCCAUUUGGCUCCUGGGGCUAGACCACUGAGCCGGUGUGGGUGGAGGGAGUUGCCUGCACUUUCUGAUUUCUCAGGAAUCGGCUGACCUCGGCAUGAUGGUUGCAGCUCCCUGGGCUCUCCUGGUGACCUGGGGGACACCUCCUCCUGCUGUCCAGGCAGGCCAAGCCCAGCUUCUGCAGGUUACCUUCUCUCUUCUUACAUUUGGACUUCUAAAAGCAUUUGAAAGAUGUCACAAUGGUAAUGCUUCUUCCUUUGUUCAACUGUGUCAAUGUCUAGUUUGUAGAAAGAAGUCCCACGGUUACUGUUUGGGGCCAAUCUGAGCAGGCCCGGGUGGGAAGAUGAAAUGUUCAUUAUCUGUCCCUCGGGCAGGUUUUUUCUGAGCAUCUGUUACAUGUCCACCAUUGACGUGGAUGCUGAGUGGCCAUAGCUGGGGACAAAACUGUCCCAGCUACCUGCGCUUGGGGGUCACAGUCUAAUGGGGGAGGUGAAAAUAAGCAAUAAACACACAACUCUGAGGGUCACACACGUUGGUGGACUGUGACAACGGUGAGUGGUGGGGACGUCUGAAGACAGAGCGACCCAUGGGAGCAAAGCCAGUUGGAGUGUGAGGCCAAGCCUGGCAGAGCCAGGAGAACAGCGCAGACCCGUGGCUCUCGUGAGCUGCCAAGCUGCCUCUGACUCCUGAUCGCUGCCACCCUGUUGGGGAGAGAAGGGGAGACAAUGGCAGCCAUACUCCCCUGCCCGUCCUGACCCGGGACAGCAGCCUGAUUCCCGAGUGGCAAGAGGUUGGUAAGGAAGGAACAGGUGAGAACUGACUCAAGACCAAACGUGCCCAGACGCGUGGGCCAGCUGCAUCGUGGAGUCUGUGCCAGGGUGCCUAUAGACGAGAGUGAUGUGAACGGGCAGACUUUAUGGGAGGCAGAUGGGUCAGGUCCAUAUGGGUGACGGCCUUAGGAGAACCAAUCACUGACCUGAGCAGGAGUCCCUGCAGAGCCUGGGCCUGCCGCCCGCCUCCGUCACAUGAGCCGGCUCCUCACGAUAAAUCUCUCUGUAGGUACCAGCAGCCCCCAGCUUGCAGGAUGGGUCGCCCUAUAAUCUUUUGACUUUACGAUGGUGGUUUCAGCUGUGCUCAUUAGUGGAUGACAGAGGUGCUUCUGCUCCUGGGGAAUGAAAGGCGAUCUUUGGAGGCGCCUUGCUGACGUUCUUGGAGCAGACGUCCAAGGAAACUCUGCAGCUGAUAAUUGCAGGUCAAAUUCUCAUCCCAAACCACCUGUUGCAAACAGCCCUGAAGGUGAGAGUGCUGGCAGGUUGUGACCAGAGAGGGGAGGCCAAGAUCCCUUCUGAAGGGUGGUCAAUGGCACAGGGGAGUUAUCUCUAGGGUCACAGCCCUGGGCUUGACAAAGAGGCAGCAGAGGGUUCCUUGCCCUCCACAGGAUGCCCCACUGCCCCCUCUCUCCUCUGCCCCUAGUCAGGGGGUUCGCCAGCUGCAAAGGACCCUCCUGGAGUGUUAUUUGUGGCUUUGCUGCCCAUGUGUGUCCCCUACUUGGUUUGGGGAAGGUGGAGGAGUAACUCCUGCCAUCUAAUCCCAGCCUACGGCAUCAGCUGCUUUGGCAGGGACGAUCUCUUCCCUUUUCUGAAUAGGGAUGAAAGUCAUCUGUACCUGGACCCCUUUCAUGCUCAAGAACAGCAGUGGCAGGUGGUGGCACUCCUCCCUGCUCAAGUAGAUAACCCUCUGGGUGGCACGGAUGGGACAGGGGUUGGGCUUAUCUUGACACCGCCAUAUUCUCUCUGGCCACUUUACCUGGUGACUGAGGCAAAUGUCAGGGGAGCGGGUAGCUGGCUGGGACGCCAGGGAGGAGAGCGUGAGUGACCUAGGAGCUGCGCGCCUACUCACACUUCACAGGUGUUUUGAUCAACAGGUAGAACCUUGGAGAAAGAUCUAAAUGCAGGCUGCCUUCUCUGUGCCACAGAAGGGCUGGCAUCAGCUCCAGGGAGCCCUGGAGAAAGAGAGAAAGACCGCCCGGCUGCCCAGUCCUGGUGGCACUUUGAGGGUGUAGAAACUCACUCUGGGUCUCUUCCCGGCCUGCUGCCCUGGGUGUCCUGGUUUCUGCGUCCUCACCCUGUGAACACAGCUGGGCCGGGUGAACCCUGCAUGUCUGAGGGUGAGGUUCCUAUGUGGGACGCUUACCUCUGCCACCUAUUCCUUGGCUGCCAACCCCACCCUAGUCCUGCAUGUUUGAGGGCAGCACAGGGCAGGGAGAUGGCAGCCAGCUCCCACCCGUGCUUUAGGGGGACAGAAGGUCUCCACUGUCUCCAUCAAGCUUCUCAACAAGUCCCAGCCUCUGACAGGGAGGUGAUGGGCUAGAAUGGGGCCCCAGGGAACUUUCUGGGGAUAGAAAUCCCUUCUGUGCCCCUUCUUUUGGGUAGUGAUUACAUGGGUGUUUAUGUGGCCAGAAAGCAUUAAGACAAGCACUUCACAACGGUGCACUUUUGCUAUGUAAGUCACACAUGGGUUAAAAAAUGCAUGACAGCACCAGGAAGCAGGCAGCUCUUUUUGCUAUUUCUCAUGUGUGAGAGGAGGACUGUUGGGAGGAUGAGACAGGCUCAUAGGCGGGCCUGGGAUGUGCAGACCCCUCGAGGAGACAGCUGUCAGUAGCACAGCCGUGUCUAAUGACCCUGGUGUUUCUCUGUGUCCUGUGGCAGAAUCCACUGUACAGUCAGCACAAGUGGACAGUGUCCGUGGGCUCAAUGGCCAUCAUUCUGGGUCAUCCUUUUUUUCACCUGCGUAUAGCUCUUGCUGGAACACAGGCAGUCUCUGAGUUACUAACAUCUGACUUAUGUACAACUCACACUUCCAAACGGGGGCUGAGACGGGGAUAGGUAAGUGUACCUUUUCCAACUUACAUACAAAUUCAACUUACGAACACACUUAUGGAUCCUAUCUUGUUCAUGACCCAGGGACUACCUGUACUGUGGUCAUUUGCAUGGUGUGGGGAGACAGAUUGUCAUGGGUCACCCACCCCACCAGGGCAGGGACAAAGUCUGUUUUCCUCGUCACUGUGUUCAGCAUCCAGCAUGGGGCUCAGCACGUGGAACUCCUGGUAAACACCUGUGAAAUGAUACCAGGCUGAUGGGGAAGGGGAGUAUAAAUUUAGUAGUAAUUAGAGUACCUCACUUUUCAGACCUUUUCAUUGUGAAAUAAAGCACAUGUACAGAGAACCACACCAAACACAUUUAGCUUAAUGGGUGACUGCAAGGCAAAUAUCCCUGAGAGCCGGCCACAUGGAGAAACGGUGCUCGGCCUCCUACCCACCCAUAUACUUUGGUGCAUAACCCGGGCCACAUGCUCUGCGCUGUGCUGACUGCAGCCUCCUGGAGCCGCUGUUUAUGUUCCUCUGUCCUUGGUACUUCCUGGCAAGGGACAGCCGAAACCCAAGGCUCCAUCAACUCUUGACAAGACUGUGCUGGGCUGUGUUCCUUCUUCAGCAAGUGACCAAUGCCUGGUUUCCCUCUGUUUUGAUAUUAGCAGCUGCGGUGAGUAGAAAUGUGUCUCCUGAAAAGAUAUGUUCAAGUCCGAACUGCGGGAUCCUGUGAGUGGGGUUAUUUGGAAACAGGCGCUUUGUAGAUGUCAUCGAGUUAAGAUGAGAUCAUACUUGAUUAGGGAAGGCCUUGAUCUAAUAACUGGUGUCCUCAUGAGAAAGGAAUAUGGGGACACAGACACGUGGAGAGUCCUGGUGAAGACCCAGAGACACACGUGGGACGGGCUGGGGUACCACAGGCCUAGGACAGCCAAGGGUUGUGGACAAGCUCUGGAGGCACCAACCCCGCUGACUCCUAGGUUUGUCUUCUGGCCUCUAGGACCGUGAGAGGAUAAAUUUCUGUAUUUUAAGCCCCUCAGUCUCCGGUGCCUUGUCACAGCAGCCCUGCGAAGCCACCGAAGCAGCCCAGGGGUGUUAAUUCACCAGGCUUUGUAAAACAGUGGCGUCCUGGUUCUGCUGCUCCGUCCCCAUCUCUCAGCCAGAAUAAUGUACCUGGAGACACCCCUUCUCAUCCUCCGCCUCCCCACGGCAACAUAUUUAAGCUUUAUCGAGAACUCGCCCUGUACAGCCAAUUCCAGGCCUCUGCACUUUCUAAUCUCAAGUCUCUGCAGGGUUCCCUGUUCUGAGAGAAAGCACUGCCCCAUGGCUCCAGUCGAACCCCACCCUGCCCUGCCUCAAAGGGGAUUUGGAUCAAUCCACGGCCCAGUCUCUUAUGAGCCAAGUCAUGACAAAGUCAGUGCCCGCCAUGAGGCAUCCAGACUG